AUCAAUUGCCAAUCAUUUACAACGCCAUUCUCGUUGCGCUGUUUGACCCUUGUGAUGCGCCAUAGUGUAACUAGGAAGAUAAUUGGUUACUAAGUGAAACGGGAAGAGAAAGAAAUGCAAGGAUGUUCUCCAGUUGCAAUCCAACAUAGCUAGCUAAUUUAUAUGAAAUUAUAUUUUGGAGAAGGAACGUAGACCGCUAACUGAAUAGGUGAGUUUUUCAAUUGGGAUCAAUGGCUCUACCAACCCUCUCUGCCCACAUUGGCCGAGUCGAGUUCGUUCUCUGGAAAGCCAGAUGGUGCGGCAGGGGGAACAGGAGGCACGUUGGCGGCAACACUGGGAGCUGCACUCAAUGCACUAAAGGCAACAACAGAACAUUGAGGCGGACUGCAGACUCCUGCCAGACCUGUUGUAGGAGGAGGGCGGUGGCGGACACCGCCUGGAAGAAGCAUGUCAUCGAGGAAUAGCUGCAGUUGGAGAGGCGGUGGGAGGCUGUUUGCUGUCCUGUACAGGCUCUUGCAGAUGGAGCUCAAGAUGCAGGAGAACCGUCAGGCUCAGGAUGAGUCUCUGAGGAGGCGGGGGGAGGGCUGAUCCAGACGCCGAGAGGGUGGAGGAAGAGUGCCAAAGGACGCGAACAGGAACAGCCUGUGUUGACUGGGGUGUCACAGGUGAAGGAGAGUGAUGCCCUAAGGCUGCAGGAGGAUGAGUGGAGGCUGGAGACUCAUAGGAUGGCCCAGCAGAGCUACCAGGACAAGAUUUGUAGCAGACUUCGAUCAGCCUGGACCUGAGGCCAAAAGACACUCCACAAUCAUGUUUUUAUACAAAUAAUUAUUCUUAAUGGGUUUAAAAUGUGUCAAGUAUUCCUACACCAUGCUUAUAUCAGCUGCUGCAUGUGGUGGUUGUAAAGUGUUACGUAUUUAGCAAACUGGUUUAAGGGUGUUGUAAUCUUGGUG